rnacentral:lncRNA from 1 species
UUUUUUUUAAUUCAAUUUAAUUUUCUCUUUUCAUAUUGAAGAAAAAAAUUUAUAAUUUUUUUUUAAGUUUACUCCAAUUUUUUAUUUUUUUAUAAAAAUUUAAAAUAUAUAAAUAAUUUUUAAAUAGUUUAAAUUAUUUGUAUUAAAUAUAACUUUUAAUUUUAUAAUAUUAAGUAUUUAGAUAUAGAUUGUACAUUAAGAAAUAAAAGAAAGAUUGAUAGAGUUUAAGUUAAUUUUACCAUCGACCUACUCAAAUUUAAUAUAUCGAAGAACGACGCACUCAGAUUUUUAAAGUCGGAAUAUCAUUUACUGACUGAAAUCUAAUAUAUCGAAAAAUUAGAUAAUCAAAAUAAAAUUUAAUUUGAAGGAUUGGAUUUUAAAAAAAAUUAUAGAAUCAUUUCAAUCAGGAACGUGGCAACUUGCUUUUUCUAAAUAUUUAAAAUUAAAUAUUUAAAUUUAAAAUUGAGUGAGUUUAGAGUUUAUCCCUAAUUUUUUCUAUGAUAUGGUUUGAUAUUUUUAUCCCACUUUUAUUAUACUGUUAUGAUUUUGGAGAGAUAUAUUUGUGAUGGUAAAAUUAAAAGUAUAAAUAGUUGAAAAUAUUAUAUUGUUAUGAUUUAUCCCUAAAUCUGUAGAAGUAUUAUUUUUAUAUUUUAUUACAGCAAUAGUUGCUUAUUUUUCAAUUACUUUUUUUUAAUAUAAUUCUUUAACUUUUUUUUUUGUUAUUUUUUAUUUUAUUUAUAUAUUUAUUUUUACGGAAUAAUUCGGUCGCAACGCGCGGGUCCUUCACUAGUUAUUAUGAUACU